rnacentral:rRNA from 1 species
AAGGUUUGUACUCCUUACGGCGUACACGACGAAAACGCUGCGGCACGCUUAACACAUAGCAAGGUCGAACGGACGUUGAGAGGGCGUUGCUCUCUUAAGUUAGUGGUCGGACGGGUGAGUAACAACGUGAGCAACCUAGCCUUUAAGAGUGGGAUAACGGUCGGAAACGACCGUUAAUACCGCAUAACAUACACGAACCGUCAUGGUUUGUGUAUCAAAGAUUUAUCGCUUAAAGAUGGGCUCGCGUCUGAUUAGCUUGUUGGUGAGGUAACGGCUCACCAAGGCGACGAUCAGUAGCCGUACUGAGAGGUAGAACGGCCACAUUGGGACUGAGACACGGCCCAGACUCCUACGGGGGGCAGCAGUGGGGGAAUAUUGCACAAUGGAGGAAACUCUGAUGCAGCGAUGCCGCGUGAGGGAAGAAGGUUUUCGGAUUGUAAACCUCUGUCUUAAGGGACGAUAAUGACGGUACCUUAGGAGGAAGCUCCGGCUAACUACGUG